GGGUCAGUAGGUUGGUCGUGCCACCGGUACGUACUGGUCUCACUGAUUCCUCCUUCCUGAAGAACCGUAAUGCCAUUAAUUUGGUGUUGCGGGGAAACAGGACUGUUACUUUGAAAAAUUAGAGUGUUUAAAGCAAGCUAACGCUUGAAUACAUUAGCAUGGAAUAAUGAAAUAGGACGAUCGAUCCUAUUUUGUUGGUUUCUAGGAUUGACGUC
rnacentral:rRNA from 1 species